rnacentral:lncRNA from 1 species
CCAGCCGCCUGGAGACGGGGGCGCGCGAGGCAGGGACGCGGUGGGUGCUGCUGUCGGUGGCUCCGCGUCGUUGGACGCACGCUUGCUUGCUUCGCCCCCCGCGACCGCCGAGCUGGCGGGCUGUAGGGAAAGCUGGAAGAAAUCACAGCAGCUCAGGCACAUCACUGUGGCUUUCCUAGGGUGAUGGAGUUUUGCCUGGGAGCGGUUCUGUGCCCACACAUCAUGCCACCCUGUGUCUCCAGCACAAAUAUGAGGCCUGGGACUGACAGGCCCAUCCUGAUAAGGAUCCUUCGUAUGUGGGGAGUGACAAACAACAGUACUGCUGAAAUCAGGAAAAGCAGAGCUCCUACUCCUGCCUGCAACCCACUCGCCAUUGGCACAAAAAUAUAUUAUGACAACAAAAGGCAUGCUAUAUUGUGUCAUAUCCUUGGAAAGUCCAGUGGGUGUCACUAAAUGGUCAUGACUUUGGCAUUAACAAUGUUUUGUAGCAUGAAUGGCCUCUGCCAAAGACCCAACCCCAGCAGCAAAGACUAUUCUCACUCUGAGCAUCCCUCAACCAUCUCCCAAACUUUGGGCUGGAUCCAUCUAAGUGGGGGAGCUUUGAAGCUCUCUGUACUGGAUGAUGAUUGGAAUUACAGUAGCAGAUGGAUUGGCUUUCUUUUAUUAUUUUUUUUUUAAAGAUUGGCCUUAAAUUGACUUUGAUAUAAAGGGUCUGUUGACAUGCUGCCAUUUCCCACUUAGAACCUUGUCCCUUUUGCUGUUUCUGUAUAUUUAUCCUGCACAUCUUGUGGACUGUUGCUCAUCCAUUCAUAGUUACCUUGCUGUCCCACUGUCUCAUGGUCUCUUGGCAGCCCCUAAGCUGAGGCUCUUGGCUUUAUGGGGGGAAGGGGUAUCACUACCCAUGUUCUGCCGGCAGCUAGCUAGACUGUAGCCCUCCUCCAUCAUACCCCACCCCUCCCAGGCUUCUGUCAUCUUCUACAUCCCUGAUGCCCAAGCCACCCAUUGGCCCUACCCCACUGGAUGAUGUGGACCAAGGGCCUCCGACCUGAAGCACCCAGGGGCACUGCAGGGUCGGGGGAGGGGUGCUGUGGCUGGCAAGGAUGCUCCCCUACUGUGUCUACAUGUGCACAGGCAUGGCUGGCAGAGUGCUCUCUGGAACUGGGGCAAGGGUGGGUGUCUGUAGGCACUUGACCUGUGUGCUGUUGCCUUGGAAAACAGGAGUCCUUAGCAAUGGGUCCUGCCCAAAGUCUAGAAAACAAGUCAAUAAGUAAUUUUACAUCUUCUUCAAAUGAUGAAAGAAACUGACUAUAGGGCAGCCUGGGUAGCUCAGCGGUUUAGCACCGCCUUCAGCCUGGGGCAUGAUCCUGGAGUCCUGGGAUCGAGUCCCACAUCGGCCUCCCUACAUGGAGCCUGCUUCUCCCUCUGCCUGUGUC